rnacentral:rRNA from 1 species
AUUGGACGCUGGCGGCAUGCUUUACACAUGCAAGUCGAACGGUAACAGGCCGCAAGGUGCUGACGAGUGGCGAACGGGUGAGUAAUGCAUCGGAACGUGCCCAGUCGUGGGGGAUAACGCAGCGAAAGCUGCGCUAAUACCGCAUACGAUCAAUGGAUGAAAGCGGGGGAACGUAAGGCCUCGCGCGAUUGGAACGGCCGAUGUCAGAUUAGGUAGUUGGAGGGGUAAAGGCUCACCAAGCCAACGAUCUGUAGCUGGUCUGAGAGGACGACCAGCCACACUGGGACUGAGACACGGCCCAGACUCCUACGGGAGGCAGCAGUGGGGAAUUUUGGACAAUGGGCGCAAGCCUGAUCCAGCAAUGCCGCGUGCAGGAAGAAGGCCUUCGGGUUGUAAACUGCUUUUGUACGGAACGAAACGGCUCUGGUUAAUACCUGGGGCUAAUGACGGUACCGUAAGAAUAAGCACCGGCUAACUACGUGCCAGCCGCCGCCGUAAUAC